rnacentral:rRNA from 1 species
AACGAACGCUGGCGGCAUGCCUAACACAUGCAAGUCAAACGAUGCCUCCGGGCAUAGUGGCGCACGGGUGCGUAACGCGUGGGAAUCUGCCCUUGGGUUCGGAAUAACUCGCCGAAAGGCGAGCUAAUACCGGAUGAUGACGUAAGUCCAAAGAUGUAUCGCCCAAGGAUGAGCCCGCGUAGGAUUAGCUAGUUGGUGGGGUAAAGGCCCGCCAAGGCGACGAUCCUUAGCUGGUCUGAGAGGAUGAUCAGCCACACUGGGACUGAGACACGGCCCAGACGCCUACGGGAGGCAGCAGUGGGGAAUAUUGGACAGUGGGCGAAAGCCUGAUCCAGCAAUGCCGCGUGAGUGAUGAAGGCCUUAGGGUUGUAAAGCUCUUUUACCCGGGAUGAUAAUGACAGUACCGGGAGAAUAAGCUCCGGCUAACUCCGUG